rnacentral:tRNA from 1 species
GUGGCUGUGGCUCAGUGGUAGAGCGCUCACCUAGCACGUGCAGGGAGCUGGGUUCGACUCUCAGCACCACA